AAGCUCGUAGUUGAAUUUCGGAAUCAAUUUGUUGGUCGUGCCUCGGUACGUACUGGUAUUAUUGGUUUCUACCUUCUGAAGAACCUUGAUGUCAUUAAUUUGGUGUCUUGGGGAAUCAGGACUGUUACUUUGAAAAAAUUAGAGUGUUUAAAGCAAGCAUACGCUUGAAUACAUUAGCAUGGAAUAAUGAAAUAGGACGUUUGAUUCUAUUUUGUUGGUUUCUAGGAUCGACGUAAUGAUCAAUAGGGAUAGUUGGGGGCAUUAGUAUUCAAUUGUCAGAGGUGAAAUUCUUGGAUUUAUUGAGGGCUAACUACUGCGAAAGCAUUUGCCAAGGAUGUUUUCAUUAAUCAAGAACGAAAGUUAGGGGAUCGAAGACGAUCAGAUACCGUCGUAGUCUUAACCAUAAACUAUGCCGACUAGGGAUCGGAUGAUGUUAAUUUUUUAAUGACUCAUUCGGCGCCUUACGGGAAACCAAAGUGUUUGGGUUCCGGGGGGAGUAUGGUCGCAAGGCUGAAACUUAAAGGAAUUGACGGAAGGGCACCACCAGGGGUGGAGCCUGCGGCUUAAUUUGACUCAACACGGGAAAA
rnacentral:rRNA from 1 species